rnacentral:lncRNA from 1 species
UUCGCGUAGAAGUUGGAGAGACGUCUGUGGGUAAAGAUGUGUUGUUUAGGAUGUGGUCUUCUCUUACGAAUGGAAUAGAGGAUGAUGAUAGAGGCAGGCGGGGACUAAGUUUGGCUUGUGUGGGAUGGACCCGCCGGCAUCUGCUCUGGUUUCGUGGCUGAGUAAUGUCGGAAUCGCGCAUACGAAACGGUACCAAUUGUUUCGAUGGUGGACACUUAACCCCUAUUGUUACAAGGAAUAUCCAAGGAUAAAAACUAUGAGACAUUACUAGGUGAUAUGGGCUUUGAUGAAAGGGUAUAUUAAAAUGUUUAAUAUUGUGUUAAAAUAAAACUAGACUGGUGGAAGUGUUGUUAUGUGAAAAUUUGUAGCAAGAGGCCAAAAAAUAGUGGUUUUCUAUUGGUUCUACAAAGUUUACUGUGAAGUUGAGGUUGUUAAUAUUAUUUGUUAAAUAUAUUUUAAUACUUUU